rnacentral:lncRNA from 1 species
CAAAACUCUCUUUCCCUCAUCAUUAUGCAAACUCUGUCUCCUGCAUCACCAUCUCCACUGAAAGCAAGUGCGCUUCUCACCCAUCUCCCUCCGUCCAAACACUAUCCCGUUCAACCUCACAUCGUUUCUCAAAUCAACGCGCUAAACCCGCUCACUCACGGCGAGAAUAACUCCCCAUAACCUUCUGCAACUCAAUCUGCCACCGGUCUCAAUGUGAUAAUCGUUAACUUCACUCAUUCGCAUUCAUCGUCAACUUUUUACUUCUAUUUCAAUGUUGUAGUUUCCGGUAAAUUAGAACAUUGGAAGCUACCGAUUUGGGACUAUAUCCUUGUUGUGUUUUUUUGUGCUGUUGAAGUUCUUUGCAGGAGGCGGCGAUCUCAAAAUGAAGAUCCAUUAUUGAUCCUUCGGUCACGAUUGCAAAAGUAGGACAAGUCCUAUCAGAUGGGCUAAAGUUAAUUACCAGGGUUUAUUCACCAUGUAGGCAACAAGAUUACACAAAACUGGAAGAAGUAAGGAUAGAGCUAGAAAACUCAGUGCAGGCCGCGCCUAAAUCAUGUCUCGUUUUAGGUUGGCUUUGCAUCCGUUUUAAAUGCGUAUUUAUCUUUCAAUUUGGUUAUAUUAUUUUGGCAUUUAUGUUGUUUAAAACUAAUGUGAUGCUUGUUUGUUGUGCUUUUCGAUUAUUUCGAUUUGUGCGUCUGUUGUUGUAGAUUCGAUGUUAAUAUGUUGAAAAUUUUAAAUAUGAGCACAACUUAAAAAUAAAGAGAUUAGUUCAUGUGUGUUUGUGGUUGACUCUCUGGAUUGAAUUUAUCAGCUUACGAGUUUUAC